rnacentral:tRNA from 1 species
CAAGAUAUAAUUUAAAUAGAAUGUUGGCUUUGGGGGCCAGAGGUGAAGGUUAAAAUCCUUUUGUCUUGA